GGCCCACCACUUUCAUCGAGUGAGCAUUCGUCUUCUGGUUACGGGGCCAUAGCUCAGCUGGGAGAGCGCGUGCUUUGCAAGCAUGAGGUCGUCGGUUCGAUCCCGUCUGGCUCCACCAGAUGGUUUGAUCGCCGAGAUCUUGCACCGUCGUCCGCGAAACAUCGCUUCGCAUCCUGCUAGUCUGGAUAGACAGCAAGAUGCGUGUUUUCUGACAUCGUAAAGAGGAGAUCGAUCCGAGUUGGGUCGUGCAGCAGAUUGUUGCGCGAAUCCUUCAUUAUCUCCGGAUCAUUUUCGGCGCUCGCUUUCAGCCGUGAGGUUGAAUGCGAGUUGUAAAAUGAUCCUUUUAGCGAAGCUUGACCGCCUCGCUAUCGGAACGAUCUUACGAAGCAAGCUGGUCUUUCUAGUCAAUGUCCGGCUGCAGAUAGCGUUCGUCGAGGGCGCGUGCCGCAAGGCAAUUCUGCAGACAACAUUCUGCCGAGUGUGUGGACAUUGAUAAUGAGAGCAAUCAAGUGCCUUAAGGGUGUUCGGUGGAUGCCUUGGCGCUGAGAGGCGAUGAAGGACGUGCUACGCUGCGAUAAGCCGUGGGGAGCUGCGAAGAAGCUUUGAUCCGCGGAUUUCCGAAUGG
rnacentral:misc_RNA from 1 species